GACGAACGCUGGCGGCGUGCCUAACACAUGCAAGUCGAGCGGAGGUGCCUGAAGAGCAAUCGGAGGGUGUCUGAGCGGCGGACGGGUGAGUAACGCGUGAGCGAUCUGCCUUUCACAGGGGGAUAACGCAGCGAAAGCUGCACUAAUACCGCAUGAGACCACGGUACUGAUGGUACAGGGGUCAAAGGAGAGAUCCGGUGAGAGAUGAGCUCGCGUCCGAUUAGGUAGUUGGUGAGGAAACGGCCCACCAAGCCAAUGAUCGGUAGCCGGCCUGAGAGGGUGAACGGCCACAUUGGAACUGAGAGACGGUCCAAACUCCUACGGGGGGCAGCAGUGGGGAAUAUUGGGCAAUGGUGGAAACCCUGACCCAGCAACGCCGCGUGAGGGAAGAAGGUUUUCGGAUUGUAAACCUCUGUUCUUGGAGAAGAGGAGAAGACGGUAUCCAAGGAGGAAGCCCCGGCUAACUACGUGCCAGCCGCCGCGGUAA
rnacentral:rRNA from 1 species